rnacentral:rRNA from 1 species
GACGAACGCUGGCGGCGUGCUUAACACAUGCAAGUCGAACGGAAAGGCCCUGCUUUUGUGGGGUGCUCGAGUGGCGAACGGGUGAGUAACACGUGAGUAACCUGCCCUUGACUUUGGGAUAACUUCAGGAAACUGGGGCUAAUACCGGAUAGGAGCUCCUGCUGCAUGGUGGGGGUUGGAAAGUUUCGGCGGUUGGGGAUGGACUCGCGGCUUAUCAGCUUGUUGGUGGGGUAGUGGCUUACCAAGGCUUUGACGGGUAGCCGGCCUGAGAGGGUGACCGGCAAAAUUGGGACUGAGAUACGGCCCAGACUCCUACGGGAGGAAGCAGUGGGGAAUAUUGAACAAUGGGCGGAAGCCUGAUGCAGCAACGCCGCGUGCGGGAUGACGGCCUUCGGGUUGUAACCCGCUUUCGCCUGUGACGAAGCGUGAGUGACGGUAAUGGGUAAAGAAGCACCGGCUAACUACGUG